rfam:Thermoactinomyces sp. Gus2-1 c5, whole genome shotgun sequence.
UCAUGCAAGAAGAAGCGCCCGCUUCUCACCUGGUCAACGCGGAGUUGGCAGGUUCUGAUGCAACUGAUUUUCCUGUUGGAUAUUGGAAGCAAAGUGUGGGCGUUUUCUGCGCUUACACUUUUUUAUUUUU